UCAAAAAGAAGAGGAAACCCAGAAUGCCUAUGCCAAUUUGGACAACAGAGGUGAAGCUAAUGUUUACGAAACCCUCAAUCUCAAUGCAAAUCCCUCUAAAGAAGGUGUUAACCAUGAAAGUAAGCAUGUAUCAUUGUGGAGAGCAGGUGCUAUAUGCUUUGGAUUACUGUGUGCUGUCCUGAUUGCUGCGUUCAUUGGUUUGUGUGUACAGUAUUCACACAUUCAAAAGAAAAAUUAUGAGCUACAGCAAACCUUCUCAGAUUACCAAGUAAACUUCACAGCAUACAUACAUGAUCAAAUGGGCAAAUACAACAGCAUCAUCACAUCACAAGAUGAGUUGCGAAAUAGCUACAAUACCUUGAUAAAAGAAAGGCAACAACUGGUGGCCAAUGAUGAGGCAAUGACUACACACAUACAGCAGUUGCAGUUGGACAAACAGGCACUGGCAUUUAAAGUCUCAG